UCGAGAAUCUUCGGCAAUGAGCGCAAGCUUGACCGAGCGACGCCGCGUGCGGGAUGAAGGCCUUCGGGUUGUAAACCGCGAAAGUAGGGAGGAAAUUGCUAGGGGUUCUCCCCUAGUAUUGACCUAUCUUCAGUAAGGACGGGCUAAGUUCGUGCCAGCAGCCGCGGUAAUACGAACCGUCCAAACGUUAUUCGGAUUUAUUGGGCUUAAAGGGUAUGUAGGCGGCCCUUCAAGUCGGGUGUGAAAGCCCUCGGCUCAACCGAGGAACUGCGCCCGAUACUGUGGGGCUUGAGGGAGACAGAGGUAAGCGGAACUGAUGGUGGAGCGGUGAAAUGCGUUGAUAUCAUCAGGAACACCAGUGGCGAAAGCGGCUUACUGGGUCUCUUCUGACGCUGAGAUACGAAGCUAGGGGAGCGAACGGGAUUAGAUACCCCGGUAGUCCUAGCUGUAACGAUGAGCACUUGAUCGUGGGGCCCCCACUACGCCUCUCGGUCGCAGCG
rnacentral:rRNA from 1 species